CAGUCGCCACGGGAAUACGUAGGGUGCAAGCGUUAAUCGGAAUUACUGGGCGUAAAGCGUGCGCAGGCGGUUAUAUAAGACAGAUGUGAAAUCCCCGGGCUCAACCUGGGAACUGCAUUUGUGACUGUAUAGCUAGAGUACGGCAGAGGGGGAUGGAAUUCCGCGUGUAGCAGUGAAAUGCGUAGAUAUGCGGAGGAACACCGAUGGCGAAGGCAAUCCCCUGAGCCUGUACUGACGCUCAUGCACGAAAGCGUGGGGAGCAAACAGGAUUAGAGACCCGUGUAGUCCCUGUCUCUUAUAC
rnacentral:rRNA from 1 species